AGAGUUUGAUCCUGGCUCAGGACGAACGCUGGCGGCGCGCUUAAUACAUGCAAGUCGAGCGAGAAGCCACUGCUGGGUAACCAGCGGUGGUGGAAAGCGGCGAACGGGUGAGUAACACGUGGGCAACGUGCCUCGGACUCUGGGAUAACAGUGGGAAACCGCUGCUAAUACCGGAUGAUGCGCAACUGUCGCAUGACGGAAACGCCAAAGCUCCGGCGGUCUGAGAUCGGCCCGCGGCCUAUCAGCUUGUUGGUGGGGUAACGGCCUACCAAGGCAGUGACGGGUAGCUGGCGUGAGAGCGUGGCCAGCCACACUGGGACUGAGACACGGCCCAGACUCCUACGGGAGGCAGCAGUAGGGAAUCUUGCGCAAUGGGCGAAAGCCUGACGCAGCGACGCCGCGUGAGGGAUGAAGGCCUUCGGGUUGUAAACCUCUUUCAGCAGGGACGAAGCGAAAGUGACGGUACCUGCAGAAGAAGCCCCGGCCAACUACGUGCCAGCAGCCGCGGUAAUACGUAGGGGGCAAGCGUUGUCCGGAAUCAUUGGGCGUAAAGAGCUCGUAGGCGGCCGUCCACGUCGGAUGUGAAAGCUCGGAGCUCAACUCUGAGAGGCCAUUCGAUACGGGACGGCUAGAGGUGGGUAGGGGAAAGUGGAAUUCCUGGUGUAGCGGUGAAAUGCGCAGAUAUCAGGAAGAACACCCGUGGCGAAGGCGGCUCUCUGGGACGUGACUGACGCUGAGACGCGAAAGCGUGGGGAGCGAACAGGAUUAGAUACCCUGGUAGUCCACGCUGUAAACGAUGGGUGCUAGGUGUGGGGGGUGUCGACUCCCUCCGUGCCGAAGCUAACGCAUUAAGCACCCCGCCUGGGGAGUACGGCCGCAAGGCUAAAACUCAAAGGAAUUGACGG
rnacentral:rRNA from 1 species